CCUACGGGAGGCAGCAGUGGGGAAUUUUGGACAAUGGGCGCAAGCCUGAUCCAGCUAUUCCGCGUGUGGGAUGAAGGCCCUCGGGUUGUAAACCACUUUUGUAGAGAACGAAAAGACACCUUUUAAUAAAGGGUGUUGCUGACGGUACUCUAAGAAUAUGCACCGGCUAACUACGUGCCAGCAGCCGCGGUAAUACGUAGGUGGCAAGCGUUGUCCGGAUUUAUUGGGCGUAAAGCGAGUGCAGGCGGUUCAAUAAGUCUGAUGUGAAAGCCCUGUG
rnacentral:rRNA from 1 species